rnacentral:rRNA from 1 species
GAUGAACGCUGGCGGCGGGCCUAACACAUGCAAGUCGAGCGAACAGAGGGGGCUUUUUCCUCUCUUCCGUGACCGACGGGAGGGUGAGUAACACGUGUAUACCCUAUCUAUGAGACUGGGGUAAGGAAGCGGGAGCUGAUCCAACACACGGUAUGAGAUAGAACGUGGGGGUUCAUUAGAGAUAAACGGUUGUGAUGACACUUAUACAGAGAUGCGAGCCGGAUUAGCUAGGUGGUAAGGUAACGGCCUACCAAGGCAACGAUGCGUAGCGGAACUGAGAGGAUGAUCGGCCACACUGGAACGGAGACACGGUCCAGACUCCUACGGGAGGCAGCAGUGGGGAAUCUUCGCCAAUGGGCGAAAGCCUGACGGAGCCAUGCCGCGUGUGUGAAGAAGGUCUUCGGAUUGUAAAGCUCUUUAAUUAGGGAGGAAGGACUGUGAGUUAAUAUAUGGAUGUUUUGACGGUACCUAAAGAGAAAGCACCGGCUAACUACGUG